GUGGUACUCCUGCAGGCCAGCGCUGCUGCUCCGGCCCCGCCUCUGCUCUGCCUCCAGCUUGAAGAGCUGCAGGUGCUCCAACUGCUUGCGCAGAUCCUCGAUCAGCUGCAGGGCAAGCCAGGCUUCCUCCUGUUCUCCUGCUCGUCGCUGAGCCGCAGGGACAACUCCUCGAUCUCGUCCAGCAACUUCUGCUUCUCCUGGAAGGACACCAUGAACACGCCUCGCCUCCCGCCCUGUCCCUAGCUUUCCUUGGCCAUCCCUGCCCUGAUGGUCUCUAGGUCCCUGGCAUCCACGGGCCACGUCUGACUGUCCUGUCGUGGCCGAGGUGCGCACAUGUGAGCACACUGCUCUCAGCACCUGCACUGACUCCACACAACAGGUACCAGGUGCAGAGGGUGGAGGAAAGCCCUUGAGCUGGCUGGCUGACCUCGGUGCCCACGCAGUGUGGGGCCUGG